ensembl:lncRNA
UUGUGCAAAAAUAUAAAACAUGACUUCAAGAACAUAAAAUGCAACAAAUAUGUAAAAUAGUGCACUGCAUUUUUUUUAGAUGCAUUUCAUCCUAAUGAGAGUCCACAAGCCAGACUAUAAGUGUGAACCCAGCGUGACCCUGUCCUUUGUGUAAUGGAUUGAGAAAAAAGCUGCAUGCAUUAGAUGAGUCUCUCUCUCUUUCUUUUUAUAGUAGCACUGCCCAGACUCCAAGUCCUUUUGCCCCGAAAACCGCAUCUGACCACCAGGACCUUAGGGAAACCACGGCCUGAUGGAGGUAUAAAGAGAGAGAGAUGGAGAGAGACGGAGAGGCUUUGGCCCCACAGCAGCCGAUGGUGAAAGAGAGUCAGUUAUAGGGCUGUAAAGGUCUCUUUAGCCCAGACACGGGCCGCCCGUGUCAGGGGAAGCUGAAAGCUAACAUGAUUACCGGGUAAGUUUAUAAGCUUUAAGUGCUGAGAUGAAGUGAAUGCUCUCUCAGAGGAGACAAACAGAAAGAUAAACUCUCUUAUUCUCUUUCAGAGUGGAACAACUAGCAGCACACUGGAGACACACAGGAAAACUAUAUACAUGCCUCUGGAGGUUAGCAUUGACGGAUCUGUGUCCUGGCUACAUCCUUUUUCGGGUAAUGUAAAGCCUGGAGAGAUCAUGAAGUUUAUUUAAAAUCUUUGAAAAAGUAAUUAGCUAUGCUAUCAGUACCAAACUUCUGAAAACAUGUAACUAGAUAAGCUUUAGGUUACUAUAGAAAACGGUAUUCAUAUUGACCAAGGGCUCCAGAAAAAGCACCAUAAAAUAGUCCAGACAGUUCAUGCAUUAUAUUUUAUGAUUUCUGAAGCCAUAUAAUACAUUAUUGUGAGAAACAGGAUUAAAUUCAAGGCAGUCAUACAUAUUUAUUAUUCUGAAGCUUGUGUUGAAUCUGUUUUCACCGCAAACAAAGGGUUUUCUAACUUGGUAUUAUUUGUCUGUUGUUUUUCAGUAAAAAUCCAAAAAAACUUAAAGGAAAUCAUGGGGUAAUUUUCAUUUUUGGGUGAACUAUCCCUUUAAGUUUUUUUGGAUUUUUACUGAAAAACAUUAGACAAAAUUUAUUCUUUCAGAUGCAUGCAAUCGGAGUUAUAUUAAAAAAAAUGUCC